GGAAAGGUAGGGGGGAGUGGGGCGGUUGUAAGGGGAUGGUAGUUGUAGUGAGCUCUUCAAGAGGGAAUGAAGGCAAAGCCCUGAGCCUGCAGAAGGAAAAGCAAAGUGACUGGGAGGCUGGAAUUCUGCCCAAGGACUAAGCUCCCUAACUACCAGUUCCCCUCUUUUCUUCAGGCAGCCUCGGUCCUGCCUUAACCUUAAAAGUAAAACUCACUUAUCUUAGGGCGCCUGGGUGGCGCAGUCGGUUAAGCGUUUGACUUCAGCCAGGUCACGAUCUCGCGGUCCAUGAGUUCGAGCCCCGCAUCGGGCUCUGGACUGAUGGCUCAGAGCCUGGAGCCUGUUUCCCAUUCUGUGUCUCCCUCUCUCUCUGCCCCUCCCCCGUUCAUGCUCUGUCUCUCUCUGUCCCAAAAAUAAAUAAACGUUUAAAAAAAAAACUCUCACUUAUCUUACCAGCAAAAUGGGAAUAUUUGGAAACAGCCGAGAGUUGCAAUUUUGAGACACAGCAGACAGCAAAACCAUAGACAGGUGUGGAGAACAAAGAAGAAAAAACACUUAAAAAAGUUUAUUUUUGAGAGAGUGUGAGUGCUGCAGGGGCAGAGAGAGAGGACAGGGCAGAGGAUCCGAAGUGGGUUCUGCGCGAACAGAAGGGAGCCCAAUGUGGGGCUCCAACUCACAAACCUUGAGACUGUGGCCUGAGCCACCCAGGGAUCCCCAAAACGUUGUUUUAUACAGGAGGGAGGGGAUUGGGAGUGGCUGCUAGAAACUGAAACUCCUUUGUCUAAACUGGGAGUUUAAAGUGUAGUGGCUUCUCAUUGGCUGAGCUGUGACAAUCUGUCAUUGGCUGGGCUGUUGCUAGGGGAGAGAAAAACCUUUCUCCCUCCCCCCCAGCCCCACACCCCAAGGGUUAGUAAAGUCGUACCACCUGCACGUACCUUUGUGUUGGGUCUGCAAUUGAGGAAGAGUGGUAGGGUGUGUGAGCUCUCCCGUCUGGCCUCCUCCUUCAUUUCACAGGAGGUUUUCAUUCAUUCAUUCAUUCAUUCAUUCAUUCAUUCAUUCAUUCAUUUAAUUUUAGAGACGGAGAGAGAGAUUCCUAAGCAGGUUCCAUCCCCAGGGCAGAGUCUAAGGCGGGGCCAAAAUCAAGAGUGGGAUGAUGCUUAACCCACUGAGUCACCCAGGUGUCCUGGAGGUUUCCUUUUAUUAACUUAAAAGGGCCUAGGCUGGAGUGCCCCUCUCCCGGUAGCAGGUCCCUAAGUUAUAGCCAAAGUGGCAGGGAAGUUGAUAUGUUGAGAAAUGCCCCGAUCCCUACUUUGCUUAAUUACAUUAAUUUUGUCUGCAGCUAUCGUAUAGGCUUCACUCAGCCAUUUACAGGCCUGUCUGAAGUAGAGAAAAACAUUGCCUAGGGCUCCUUUCUCCAACUGACUUUUGUUCAAGCCAUCUGAUUGAGUCCACAUCUCCCUCUGGAUCCAUUCCUUGGCUCCCCUUUACAGAAAAAUCCCUCAAAAGACUGGCUAUGCCUUUGGGCUUGAAUUUCUCUCCUCAUAUUCUCUCCUGAACCCUCUGCAGUCAGGCUUCUGCCUUGUCUAUUCCACUAACAUAGAUCUUGUCGAUGUCCCCAGUACCCUCCCUGUGGCUAAAUCUUUAAGUCCUUUCUUGGCUCUUAUCUAAAUUGACCUAUCAACAGCAUUCAACAUGUUUGACUCCUUGUCACCUCCUUGGAAAACUUUUUUCCCCUCCUUGACUUGGAGCAUUCCACAUUCUUUGAUUUUUGUUCUCCCUCACCCAUCAUUCCUUUCGGUCGGCUUUGCUAGUUUCUCUUCACAUCCCGUUCCUCUAGAUGUUAGGGUGCCCACGGCCCAGAACUUUUGUUUUCCCUGCAUGUCUACACUCGGUCUCUUGGUUAUCUCCUCCGUUCCAGCACUUAAAUACCAUCUGUCUGUUGACCGUUGCCAAAUGUAUCCCUCCUGUCUGUAUUUCUUCUCUAAACCCCAAGUGCAGCUCCCCAAAUGCCUCAACAUCCUCACUGAAGCAUCUCAAAGACAUCUCAAACGUGACGUGUCCCAACAUGCUCCCUAGAGUUAAGCCCAAGCCUAGGAGUCAGUCUUGAUUCCUUUGCCUCACACCACACAUCGAAUGCAACCGCAAAUCCUAUUGGGUCAAAUUUCAAAACAUCCAGUCCCUUGACUCUUCAGCAUCCGCACCACUACCAUCUGAUCUCGGCAUCCUCUGGGGUCAGAUGACGCCACUCUGUGCUCAACACUCUCCGGUGGCUUCCUAUUUCGGAUAAUUUACAAUUUCCAAGCUCAAAAAGGAUCUUAACCCCUCAGCUCCUAUUACUUCGCUGAUCUCAUCUCCUAUUAUUCACCCCCUGGCUAAUUCCAUGUCAUGUCCCACUGGCCUCUGCUGGUCCUCAAACCUCCAGGGAUGCUCCUGGUCUAGGUCUGUGUGUUUGGCCCACUGUCUAGAAUUUUUUUUUCACCAUCGAUACAUGUCUCUUUCCCCAUCUUCAAGUCUUUGCUCAAAUAUAACCUCUGCAAUAAAGCCUUUCCUAUUUGAUUCGAAGCUGCAGCUCUUUCCACUAUUACCUUGCCCAGCUAUUGCUACCGGAACUUGCUUAGGACACAACCUUACAUAAAGAAGGUGCUUGAUGGGUAUUUGAUGAAAUAAUAAAUCCAUGAUUAUCACA